UAAGGAAUAUUGCUCAAUGGGAGAAACCCUGAUGCAGCGACGCCGCGUGAGCGAUGAAGCCCUUCGGGGUGUAAAGCUCUUUCGGCAGGAACGAUAAUGACGGUACCUGCAGAAGAAGCUGCGGCUAACUACGUGCCAGCAGCCGCGGUAAUACGUAGGCAGCAAGCGUUGUUCGGAGUUACUGGGCGUAAAGAGUGCGUAGGUGGUUCUCUAAGUUCGGUGUGAAAUCUCCCGGCUCAACUGGGAGGGUGCGCCGAAAACUGGAGGGCUUGAGUAUGGGAGAGGAGAGCGGAAUUCCUGGUGUAGCGGUGAAAUGCGUAGAAAUCAGGAGGAACACCAGCGGCGCAGGCGGCUCACUAGACAGUUUCUGACGCUAAGAUACGAAAGCGUGGGGAGCAAACA
rnacentral:rRNA from 1 species